GGAACGUUCACUGCUUAUGGAAUAUUUAUCUGCACUUUGCAAAUCCUCUUCGCAAAUCCUCUUCAGCUUUUAGAGAUUUUUAUCACCUAACUUUCUAUUGAUAGAAACUGACUCUUUUCACUGAAAAAAUUUCCUUUUCAGAAAACUUUUUAGAAAUGGGUUUACAGUUGUUUCGACACAGGAUCAGAUUCUUGAAGCUGAGCGAAUGAUACUAAUUCAUCUUCUUCCUGCCUGCAACUCUUCUCACCAAAGAAUUGGCUAAAACGUAGUGGACAGGAAACACCAGAACCAGGAUAUUUUUCAUAAGCUUAACUUAUAAUGUAUCUCAUCUAUAUCUGUUUGGUGUACAACACAUAUCGUCUGGAACAUACUUUUGGGUUCCUCUGCAUUAAAACAGCUUCGUUAUUAUUUCUCCCAUGCCUGAUUUAUAAAAUAUAUGCUCAUUUCAAGACUUAAUUGAAUAUAGAUAUAAAUAAUUAAGAAAGUAAAAAAAAAAAUCCCACAUAACUAGGAUGUCUAUACUAUUUAUUAUCCAAACUGGAACCUUUUUAGCAUGAAAAGUGGUGUUAAUAAUUACUUUGGAACAAUAGACUGUCCCAGUGGAUCAAUACGUGUGGUCACCCUAGUAACUUUCCAGUAAUUAUUCUGGGAAUACACACAUUAUGGAGUGCGUACCUAUUUAGAAAAAUUGGAUCAUGUCAUGUGUAGUUUUGCAGGCUUUUCUUUUUUUAACAUAAAAUGGAUAUAUUUAUUUCUAUGUCAAUAAAUACAGAGCCACAUAAUCAUUUCAACGGCCACAGUGACUUGCACUUAGUAAAUGCUAUAAUAAUGUUGGUUUUUCUUGUCAGUCAUCAAAAUUACUUUCUCCUUUUGAUGGAUAAAUGAGAAUUUAUUUUUGAAAAUCCUUAUUUAAGGUAUUACUCCUUUUUUUGCUAUUAUAAGCAAUGCCAUGAUAAAUAUUUUCACACCUAUAAGUUUAUGCCCUUCCUUACUUCAGAUACAUUCCUAGAAGAGGAAUUUUGGAAUUAAAAGUAUACAAUUUUACUUUUGGUGACACGUUCACAUGUUAUUUUCUUAAAAGUAUCAACAUACAAGCCCAUUAGAAAUGUGUGAGAGUGCCGAUUUUUGUAUAACCUUGAUAACAAUGAAUUUUAUCAAGCUUUUUGAUCUUGGCAAUUUAAUAAGUAGAAAUCGUUGUUAAAGUCAGAGUUCUUCAGAGAAACAGAACCAAUAGGAUAUAUCCAGAGAGGAAGAUAGAAAGAGAUUUGUUAUGAGGGAUUGGCUUACAUGAUCAUCGAGGCUGAGAAGUCCCAUGACCCGCCAUCUACAAGUAGGAGACCCAGGAAAACUGGUAGUUUAGCUCCUGUCUGAAUCUGAAGGCCCGAAAACCAGGAAUGCCAAUGCCCAAAGGCGGAAGAUGGAUAUCCCAGCUCAAGCAGAGGGCAAAUCUGCCUUUCCUCCUCCUUCUGG
rnacentral:lncRNA from 1 species